rnacentral:lncRNA from 1 species
AGUGAAGGUCGCUAGUCACGAUCGCGUUAAGUCCAAUUCCUAGCAUGAGUGACAUGAUGUCAUAGUUGCUUGUGUUUUGUCAAUGCUUAUAGUUUUCAUUAAACGUAAUGAUCUUUGAUUGUAUCUUUAUUAUGAUGUCAUGUAGGGAACUUUUAAGGAAUGCUUUGGGUUGUCGAAUGAUGUCAUCCAAUCCAAUAACACAAGGAAAACUUGAGAAUUAACUAGUGAUGUCACGGUUAAUUUGGGGCAUUGUCAUUCAUAAUUCAACGAAGGAAUAACUGGAAAUCGAGUCGUUUGCAUACUUGUCAUGUGUGGAGAAAGAGCCUCUAACUAAUCCAUCAUCCAUUUAAAAUCCCAAAAUCGUUUUCAAUUCUGUUUUUACUUUGCAAUCUGUUUUGUUAGUUAUUUUCGUCCAAAUCAAACCCCCAUUUAUUUUGGAGUCCUAGAUUAGUUAGAAAGUGUUUUGGUUUAUGUUUUUAAGUGUUUUGGUACAAGUUAAAACCCAAAUUCGUCCAAUUUGGUGCUUUGCGUUCAAAACUGCCCAGAAAGUGUUUUUAAGGCAGUUCUGAGUCUUUUGGUUGCUGUUUUGAGUUUUUGAUUUUAGUUUCUCUGAUUUAGUUUCUGACUAUGUCCCCUUCCAAUGGGAAGGAUGGAAAGUCUCAUGCCAUUCGUGUAGUGACACUAAGACAAGGAUGUAGGUGCUCAUUAUGGGAAUGAGUUCACUGAACACAAUCAAACGAGAGUACUUACAUGGAAGUCUACUCACAUGUCAAGCAAGUAACUCUACUGGUUGGAAUAAUGUAAGUAAUCCUUUAACCUGAGACAUCAUAGUUGUCUUAGGGAUACGUUGCUGAUCAUUUGAUAAUGAGACGUGACCACAUCUCAUCUUGGAUGUGUUCUAUGCAUUGUUGGGGUCAGUGAUUUAUUCUAAGAGACAUGUGAAUGAUCAACAAGGGAUCUCUAAACCUCGUUAUGAGAGGAUGAAUACUCUAAGAUAUGAUUCAGGAAUCUUGGGCCGAAGUAUCGAGCGUAAUGAUGGAAAGCAUUCCUAUACGACUCAAUAUAAUCAUAUAACUUGAUAUAAUCACAUUAGGGGUUUGACAUUAAAUAUCCAUACCCUAGUAAUGUGAUUGUGAGUAUUGUAUUAGAGAAUGAUCGAAUUACAUUGUAAUUCCAACUGAAUAGGUUCUUCGAACAAAUUCUACAUUAGCUUGGGUAGCCAUGAUAUAUGGUUAGAUGUCACUCAUGGCUUGUGAGUUCUUAUGAUGAUUAAAUAAGUAGUCAUCAAAGAAGAAGGAGAAUUGAAAGUAAGUUUUAAUUCACUAAGUAAUUGGAUUAAUACAAAUAAAUUGGAUUGGUGCCAAUCACCUCACUGCCUUGCUAAUUAGAACCUAAAAUGAUUGUACAUCGAAACACUCUUGUGGUGAGACAACUAAAGGAUGAUGGAAUAAAUUAAUUGGAUUAAUUAAGUGUUAUGAUUAAUUAGAAAGUCUAAAGAAAUCAUAGAAGCGAUGAAAGAUCAUUUUGGACUUAAAGAAAAGUUCGGGUUCAUAUGGGUUCAUUAAGCCCAAACAACACAAAGGGGUCGGCCAAAGAGACAGAGAGAGAGUCAAGUUGUUCACUCACUUCUUUGACAUUUAUAAAGAAAGUUUAAUGAAAAGUUUCAUUAGGGUUUUGUCUGUUCUUUUUCACAAAAGAGAAAAACAAGUCUCUCUCUCUCAACACACUUAUAGCCGGCCACCAAGAGGAGGGAAAGCUAAUCAUCUCUCCUCCUUUUGGUUAUUCCAUUAUCCAUCUCACUACACUAGUGGGUGUGGAUCUUUAGAGGUCUUCUACUUUGGAGACUAAAGGAGAAAGGAGCUCUAAAUCUUUUAAGGUGGAGGAAGCUAGGAGGGAGGCUAGACUCAAGGAGUUCCAAGAACAAAGAGCUUGGAGGUUGUCCAUCCUUGGUCUCAAGUCUAGAUCAGGAGGUAUAAAACUAAACCUUCACUUUGUUCUUCAAUAUUUUCUUAGAUGCAUCAUAUACGAACCUAUGCUUCUUGAAGGGGAUUUGCAUGACGAUAGCUUUGAUAUUAUGUGAUAACAUGCUUCCGUUGCUAAUGUAUAUAAAUUUUGAAUUGUAUAUGCAUGCUAGUCACUAGAAAUCCCACAUAAAUCUCAUUAUUUCCCUUCAAGUGGUAUCAAGAGCCAAAGGUUUAUAUUUAAUGUGUCCUUUUGGAUUUUAUGCAUAUGGGUUUUAAUUUUACGUUUGACAUAUUAUUUCUUCAUUCAAAAUAUGUUUAUCUUUUGUUUUUUCAAAGGUUGAAAAAUGUGUUUCAAGAGUUGAAAAAGAUAUGUAUGCAAAAAGUGUUUGGGAUGCAUGAAUGAAGAGUGAGUUUUUGAACAAAAUUUGGGGCUUAUGUACCAUAGGGGAGGGCACGGUUUUUGGGGGAUUUUUUGGCUUGUGUUUGUGUUUUAUUUUAAGUCACACACACACACUUUGAAGUAAGAAAGUAGAGGCAUUGUCACUUUUGUUUUUUGGUUUGAAAAAUCACCAAGAAAGUACAAAUCUUGAAAUUGUUUUCAUGGUUUUGUUCUUGGUGUUCAUGGUUUUGAUUUUGGUUUAAAAGGUUUUGUUUUAGUGUUCAUACUUUGUUUUUUGAAUUUGGGUGAUAAACUUGCCAUCAAUAGCCUUCCAUUGAUUGACUCCAUCCUAGACUUGACUAGGAGACCUUUCACCCAUCAUUCCUUUCAAGCCAACUUGCACAAGUAGUGACAAGGAAAGCUAGGGCUUUUGCUUUAUUUUGAAAUUUAGGGAACAUGUAUGACACACUCCCUCUCCCCCCAUCACAUAACCGGCCACCCUAUUGAUGGGUCCUCUAUGGGCUAUUUUGCAAUUUUAAAAGUUGAUUAUACUUUCUAGUAUUUGCGGUUUGACCCUAAACUUUUCAUAAUUGCAUUUCGGCCCCACCUCUUAAUGAGAUUAAAAUAUUAUGAUUUUAAUUUUGUUUGUAGCUUAAACUCAUCAUAUAAUUAUGCCCAUAUAUACUAAAUCUAAUUGAUUAUGUUGCAUUCCAAUUUAAUUAUUUAAUGUGAUUAAGUAGUUAGUAAAAUGGUUGACUAUGGACUUGUGCCUUAAAUGAUAAUUGAGCUAUGAGAAAGGCCGCUAAAUUCAAAUGGUUUGAACCUUGGGAAUGUGUUUUAAUUGCUAUUUCAAUUGGACCUCAACAUGUUAGACAUUAAUCUUUCUCUCCCUCUUAGUAUAUGUAAUUUGUAGGAAUUUGUACAAAUCGGUUUGUAAUUCUUAUUACUUCUUUAUCUCUUUCAAUAAGUUGAUUCCCUCUAGUACUAGACUAGAGUUUCUUUAACUAUUGGUAGGGAAACAUAUUAAAAGGGGUUUCCAUGAGAUUAAAGAUUUGUUGGGUCCAACGCCCUAAUUAGCAAUGAAUGAUUGUCUUUCGUUUCUAAUGGCUCAAUGAAAAAUGUUUUAAUUGGAUUGAAAGCACGUAAUUAAAAUGAUACAUUCCUCCCUACAUCUUAUUCAACAAUGUUGGCUCGUUGUUGAAUCAACCUAAUAAGUCCAUAGUCAUCAAAAGAGCCUAAGAUAACUAUAAAGUCCAAAUUUAAAGGAAUGCAAAAACCUUAGUAGUAGUAGUUACUUCCAAUAUUUGAAAAAUUCGAUUUUUGAUAUUGAUUUGUUUUAUGAAAACGAAUAGUGGAGAUAUCAUAUGCUACUAAUUUCAUUUACUUUGGACUAGUAGUUGUAAUAGGACACAAUUUAUUAUAAUUUGAUUAAAUAAAUAAAAUGAUGAGACCUUAAAAUCCCUCAACCAACAUCCAAUAUUAAGUUGAAAGCGGAGAGGUGCUUUGAACACUUCUUCGUGGCCUUCCACCAUGGUAGGCUCCAAUCGUUUAUGACUCAUACACCCGCCUUCAUCCUAUCAUGGGGGAGUUCAAAGUAUGUGCUUAUCCUCAGGAGGAGUCUAUUUCAAACAUUUGAUGUGGUGAAGGUAGGCAACGAGUAUGGCCAACAUCGUAUCAUCGUGAGGUCUUACUUGGACCCCUAUCUAAACCGCAAUGGGGGUCAAAACUUAACUAAGAGAAAUGGUGCCAACAUCAUAUCAUUGUGAGGCAUUGUUCUCUAGAGGCCAACAAGAUGGGUAAUCACAAGAGGUUGUUGUGAAUGGGUAGUUCUACCCUCUCAUUAUUAUUUUUGCUAGCCGACAUCGUAUCAUCGUGAGGUGG